UACGAAGGGUGCAAGCGUUGUUCGGAAUUACUGGGGCGUAAAGCACACGUAGGCGGCUUUUUUAAGUCAGAGGUGAAAUCCCCGGGGCUCAACCCCCGGAACUGCCUUUGAAACUGGAAAGCUAGAAUCUUGGAGAGGCGAGUGGAAUUCCGAGUGUAGAGGUGAAAUUCGUAGAUAUUCGGAAGAACACCAGUGGCGAAGGCGACUCGCUGGACAAGUAUUGACGCUGAGGUGCGAAAGCGUGGGGAGCAAAACAGGAUUAGAUACCCGCGUAGU
rnacentral:rRNA from 1 species